rnacentral:pre_miRNA from 1 species
GGUGCAGCAUCAUCAAGAUUCACACGCGAUUUCCCGGCAUAGACAUGAAUUUCUAGAGGUUUAGUAUUGAGAAUCUUGAUGAUGCUGCAUCA